rnacentral:rRNA from 1 species
UAGGGAAUCUUCCGCAAUGGACGAAAGUCUGACGGAGCAACGCCGCGUGAGUGAAGAAGGAUUUCGGUUCGUAAAACUCUGUUGUUAGGGAAGAAAAAAUGUAUAGUAACUAUAUACAAAAGAGACGGUACCUAACCAGAAAGCCACGGCUAACUACGUGCCAGCAGCCGCGGUAAUACGUAGGUGGCAAGCGUUGUCCGGAAUUAUUGGGCGUAAAGCGCGCGCAGGUGGUUUAGAAAGUCUGAUGUGAAAGCCCACGGCUCAAACGUGGAGGGUCAUUGGAAACUAAUUAACUUUAGUGCAGGAGAGAGAAGUGGAAUUCCUAGUGUAGCGGUGAAAUGCGUAGAGAUUAGGAGGAACACCGGUGGCGAAAGCGGCUUUUUGGGCUGCAACUGACACUGAGGCGCGAAAGCGUGGGGAGCAAACAGG